GCGCCCGUAGCUCAGCGGAUAGAGCGUUGGCCUGCGGAGCCAAAGGUCGUGGGUUCAAGUCCCUCCGGGCGCGCCA
rnacentral:tRNA from 1 species